rnacentral:rRNA from 1 species
GACCUGGCUGGGCGGUCUGCUUAACGGCAUGUACUGUCUGGCUGGGCCUUACUUCUUGGUGAGCCGGCGUGCCCUUUAUUGGUGUGCGUCGGGGAACCAGGACUUUUACCUUGAGAAAAUUAGAGUGUUCAAAGCAGGCCUGUGCCUGAAUACAUUAGCAUGGAAUAAUAAAAUAGGACGUGCGGUUCUAUUUUGUUGGUUUCUAGAGUCGCCGUA